rnacentral:rRNA from 1 species
UACAGAGGUCUCAAGCGUUGUUCGGAUUCAUUGGGCGUAAAGGGUGCGUAGGCGGCGCGGUAAGUCGGGUGUGAAAUCUCGGAGCUUAACUCCGAAACUGCAUUCGAUACUGCCGUGCUUGAGGACUGGAGAGGAGACUGGAAUUUACGGUGUAGCGGUGAAAUGCGUAGAUAUCGUAAGGAAGACCAGUGGCGAAGGCGGGUCUCUGGACAGUUCCUGACAGCUGAGGACGAAGGCCAGGGGAGCAAACGGG